rnacentral:tmRNA from 1 species
GGGGAUGCUGGGCCUUGAAGCAAGGCGGCACCAAAAAAGAGCAGGUCGAGGAGGCUUUGUUACCUCGCAAAUCAUCAAAGCAAAAAAACAACUGCCAAUUUCAGCAGAACUCCGGCUUUGGCUUUUGCCUAAGCUGGCAUCCUAACGGUUGAAUCUCAAUAGAUCGUAUCAGGGUGCAAUAUUUUUGAGAUAGGCUCUUUUAAUGAGGUCUUGUGACAAAGAGCGACAAAAACAAGGCCAAGAGCUGGCAAUUUUGCCGAUUUUCUAUUCCAGCUUCCAAUAAAUCGGAUAAAUCUGUAGACUCUUUUAGGAAAGUUUUGCUGACGCGGGUUCAACUCCCGCCAUCUCCACCA